AGGGGACUGCAGGGAGCGGGCUGACAAGAAGAACCUAACUGGAGGGGGCAGAUGGGGCAGGGUCAUCUAUGAUGAGAAAAAGGAGCUUCUGCUCAGACAUCACUGGGUCAUUUUCUCGAGAGGGUAGACAGAGUUGAAUCCACCAAAAAACCUGUGCCAUCAGCAUCAGGUGUGAGGGAAAGUCCAUCUCGCCCUCCAUUUCCGAUCGCGGAUGAUCCUUUAUCUGCACCGUCUCUGGGAACCCCUCCCGUCUCCAGUGAGUAACUGUCGUACUGUACUCGGAGCACACAGCAGCACAACCGUGCCAGAGUCUGGCAGACACCGAGCUACUUCCAGGGCAGAUUUGCAUCUAUGAAUGUUGAGGGAAGUGCAGACACGUCUGUGAUGUGUAGCUCCUCCCGUCUGUGGGCACAAGAACCUGCAUGUUGGAGGAAGAGGAGAACUUAGACACACCCUGAGUCAUCUCCGUGCACACAGGAGCUGGAGGCGCAGAGAGGAACCAGCUCCAGCCUGGCUGAGAUGUCUUUGUACUCCAAGAUCAGCUGUGGACUCACAACCCUUUGAUGAUGGAGCCACUUCCCCGCAGGAAAACACCAGCACCUACAAUCCAUGCAGGCCUCAGCUCCUGGCCCCCCUUCCAUGGCCUCUCUCCCAGUUCUGAGAGAGGGCCCCCUGAAUUCCCACAGUUGACUUGGAGCUUGAAAUCUGGUCCCAAUGAUAUCACACCUGUGAAGGAGAACUGAGGAGCUGAGGCAGAAAGAAUUCUUCUGCUUUAAAAGACCAGAUUACCAGAUGUAAGAAUGGAAGAUUGUUCAGACCACUGAAGAGAAUAAGAAAAUACUUAUUAGAUAAAACAUUAGAGGUAAUACUGAGUUUCACUAGACAAGAUGGUAGGAAUUCACCAUGCUAAUUCCAUUGCAUAUUGCUACCUUCAAAUCAUUUGCUCAAAUUACCAGAUAUAAG
rnacentral:lncRNA from 1 species